rnacentral:rRNA from 1 species
AUUAGAUACCCUGGGUAGUCCACGCAGUAAACGAUGAAUACUAACUGUCCGGGUCGAGCGAGAUCUGGGUGGUACAGCGAAAGCGAUAAGCAUUCCACCUGGGGAGUACGCCGGCAACGGUGAAAUUCAAAGGAAUUGACGGGGGCCCGCACAAGCGGAGGAACAUGUGGUUUAAUUCGAUGAUACGCGAGGAACCUUACCCGGGCUUGAACUGCACGAGAACAAUUCAGAGAUGAUGAGGCCCUUCGGAGCUCGUGUGGAGGUGCUGCAUGGUUGUCGUCAGCUCGUGCCGUGAGGUGUCGGCUUAAGUGCCAUAACGAGCGCAACCCCUCUCGCCAGUUGCCAUCGGGUGAUGCCGGGGACUCUGGCGACACUGCCGGCGCAAGGUGUGAGGAAGGUGGGGAUGACGUCAAAUCAGCACGGCCCUUACGUCCGGGGCUACACACGUGUUACAAUGGGGCGUACAGAGAGAUGGCCAUGCGCGAGUAUGACCGGAUCUUGAAAGUGUGUCUCAGUUCGGACUGGAGUCUGCAACCCGACUCCACGAAGCUGGAUUCGCUAGUAAUCGCGCAUCAGCCAUGGCGCGGUGAAUACGUUCCCGGGCCUUGUACACACCGCCCGUCAAGCCAUGGGAGCCGGGAGUGCCUGAAGUGUGCAACCGCAGGAGCGCCCUAAAGUAAAACCGGUGACUGGGGCUAAGUCGUACAAGGUAC